AUCAAAUUUCCAUCAAAAGUAUUGCGGUAACAGAUCUAAAAAUAAUAAGCGUAAAUAAAAGAAAAUGAAAGACUCUUAAAAUUAUAACGCACAAAAAUUAAAAAUAGGUGCAAAGUCAUUUAGAAAAACAAACAACGCGGUCACGGGUCGAAAAAUAAUAAGCGCAAAUUCCAAAUGUAAACCCAUUACAAAUUAUAUUGCACAAAACUGAAACACGAAUUCAGCAUUUUUCGAGUCACAAACAAAAUCAGGUUUUCCGCUCAUAUUUAAAUUUGUUGUGUGCUUAUGCUCCUUUCCCUUUUGCUCACAUUCUCAUGUUUUGCGCUUGCGUUUCAAAACUUUGCCGACAGAGUUUGAUGUAAAUUAGGGCGGGCUUCAGUGUCACUAUUGGUUAACUAGUCCGAAUUGACAGCUGCUCCUCUAGCCAAUCAGUCGAAGGGGGAGAUUACGUCACUCCAGCGCGACCCAUGACUUCUGUGGAUAACUCGUACAGGUAUGAAGAUGGAUAGCCCCCGUCAGCUGGCAACUGCUGGACAGUCUCAGGCAGUGACAAGGCUGCUUUUAGAGAGACUCUUGUCACGAUUACAGGAGGUCAUGCAGCGCUUGCCUCUGGACCUGGAUUAUUUAUAUUUUAUUUGCACAAAUGAUUUGACAUUGAUCACUUCACAUGCAAGUCGCGAACAUGUGCCUCACGACGUAAUGCAGUGCCUUUCAAACCUGUGUUCUGUUCUUUCUAAUUGCCUGGACACGAGACGUACCCCUUCAGUUGUUGUAAAUGAAACUGCUGGACCAACGGGACGUCCCAAAAUCACUGUAUCUGAACAGCAUCUCAGACGAUUGAUAGAAGUUGGUCUGACUGUAUCUUGCAUUUCAAAACUGCUUGGCAUGUCAACACCAACCGUGGAACGAAGAAUGCAAGAGUUUGGUAUUAGUGUGAGAGGAACAUACAGUCAAUUGACUGACGAGGAGUUAGACAAUCUUGUGGUUGCAAUCAAAACAACAUCACCACACUCAGGCUACAGAAUGAUGAGAGGACACUUGAAAGCUCGUGGUCAUCGAGUCCAGUGGAGCAGAGUCUGGGAUUCUAUGAAUAGAGUUGAUUCAGCUGGAGUCCUUGCUAGAUUGUCACAACUUGGACAUGUUGUGAGAAGAUCAUAUUCAGUUCAGGCUCCUCUAUCCCUCAUGCAUUUGGACACCAACCACAAGCUGAUUAGAUAUGGCUUAGUAAUAUUUGGGGGCAUAGAUGGCUACUCAAGAAAGAUCAUGUAUCUGGGGGCCACAAACAACAACAGAGCAGAGACUGCUUUAGGUUUCUUUCUCGAGGCAGUAGAGAAGCAUGGAGUUCCUUCACGGUAUGUAUGCACAUUUUAGUCUGUAUGUCUGUCCUUAUUAAAUGUAUUGUCUUAAUGUGUAGGGUAAGAGCAGACCAAGGUGUGGAAAAUGUGGACAUAGCAAGGUGGAUGUUCACUGUUCAGGGCUGUGGCAGGGGAAGUUUCAUUUCGGGGAAGAGCGUUCAUAAUCAGAGGAUCGAACGAUUGUGGAAAGACGUGUGGAUGUCGGUUUCAAAUGUGUAUUAUGAUGUUCUACAUAGUUUGGAAGAGAGUGGUUCUCUUGACCCAUCAAACAGCCUUCAUCUCUUCUGUGCACAUUAUGCUUUUCUUCCUCGCCUCCAAAGAGACCUAGAGACCUUCACUGAUGCAUGGAAUGACCAUUCCAUUCGUACAGAACAAAAUCUUUCCCCCAAUCAGCUGUGGGAAAUAGGACUUGCACAGAAUGCAGUCAAUGUUUCAUGCGACAUGGAGGACCUCAACAUUUUUGUGCAAGACAGAACUUACCCACUGGAGGAGCAGAAUGUUGGAGUAGUGGUCCCUCAGGUGGAGUGUCUGCUCUCUGAGUAUGAAAUGGCUCGACUAAGGACAACCAUUAAUCCAGUAUCCCAGUCUAGAGACUUUGGACAAGAUAUUUACUUAUCUGUGUUAAAUUUUGUUUAGCAGCUUCUUGAAUAACAUACUUUGAAGCUCAAAACAUCAGACUGUAAGUUAUGAUUUUUUUGUUCUGCAAAUUUUCCAGUGUAAUUUAACAACUGUGAAGUAGUACGCAGAAAAAAAAAAAAUCGUAGAAUUGUUAGCUUUAUUUUUCUUAAUGUAUAACUAAUGUGGUAAAUGUGUGUAUGCACUCCUUUGACAUGACAAAUAAAAGCAAUGGCUUUUAAAA